GACGUAGGGCGCGAGCGUUGUCCGGAUUUAUUGGGCGUAAAGAGCUCGUAGGCGGUUUGUCGCGUCUGCUGUGAAAACCUAAGGCUCAACCUUGGGCUUGCAGUGGGUACGGGCAGACUAGAGUGCGGUAGGGGUGACUGGAAUUCCUGGUGUAGCGGUGAAAUGCGCAGAUAUCAGGAGGAACACCGGUGGCGAAGGCGGGUCUCUGGGCCGAUACUGACGCUGAGGAGCGAAAGCGUGGGGAGCGAACAGG
rnacentral:rRNA from 1 species